rnacentral:rRNA from 1 species
CCCUACGGGACGCAGCAGUGGGGAAUAUUGCACAAUGGGCGAAAGCCUGAUGCAGCAACGCCGCGUGAAGGAAGACGGUUUUCGGAUUGUAAACUUCUAUCAAUAGGGAAGAAAGAAAUGACGGUACCUGAAGAAGAAGCCCCGGCUAACUACGUGCCAGCAGCCGCGGUAAUACGUAGGGGGCAAGCGUUAUCCGGAUUUACUGGGUGUAAAGGGGGCGCAGACGGCGAUGCAAGCCAGGAGUGAAAGCCCGGGGCCCAACCCCGGGACUGCUCUUGGAACUGCGUGGCUGGAGUGCAGGAGGG